AGAAAACCCAAAAACCGUAUCUUUCAUACUUCGUAUCUUCCUUCUCGUGUACUGCUGUUUGCUAUCCUACCGUCAUCGUUUUCCUUCUCUGCUCGUGCCCUACUGUUGGUCAAACAGCCUUCACCACCGGUACCAAGUUCGUAGAAUGGAGAUUCUAGCUAGCUCGUUACCCUUAAUUAAGUUGUUUUCGUACUACAAAAGCCAAUCUACAGGUUUGCGAAUAAGCAUGCAUGGGGAUAGAUUGUGAAGUACCUUUUCCCUUUGAAUAUUACAUUGGUUUUGGAUUUUAAUAUGUUGCAACUACUUAACUUAAUUUAUUCCCUGGAUUUAAUAAGGGGCCUAUUGAGGUCUCCACAUUGUAUUUGAAUCAAUCGUUUUAAGACUUCCGUUGUUUGUUUUCAAAGUUAUACUAUAAAAGUUAAACCGGUUUUUAAUUAAUUAUUUCA